rnacentral:rRNA from 1 species
AUGAACGCUGGCGGCGUGCCUAAUACAUGCAGGUCGAGCGAACAGACGAGGAGCUUGCUCCUCUGACGUUAGCGGCGGACGGGUGAGUAACACGUGGAUAACCUACCUAUAAGACUGGGAUAACUUCGGGAAACCGGAGCUAAUACCGGAUAAUAUAUUGAACCGCAUGGUUCAAUAGUGAAAGACGGUUUUGCUGUCACUUAUAGAUGGAUCCGCGCCGCAUUAGCUAGUUGGUAAGGUAACGGCUUACCAAGGCAACGAUGCGUAGCCGACCUGAGAGGGUGAUCGGCCGCACUGGAACUGAGACACGGUCCAGACUCCUACGGGAGGCAGCAGUAGGGAAUCUUCCGCAAUGGGCGAAAGCCUGACGGAGCAACGCCGCGUGAGUGAUGAGGGUCUUCGGAUCGUAAAACUCUGUUAUUAGGGAAGAACAAAUGUGUAAGUAACUAUGCACGUCUUGACGGUACCUAAUCAGAAAGCCACGGCUAACUACGUG